AAGUCGUAACAAGGUUUCCGUAGGUGAACCUGCGGAAGGAUCAUUAUCGAACGAAACUUCUGGCUGGACGCUGUUGUGCUGGCCCUUUGGGGCAACGUGCACGCACCUCUGGCUGUUUGUUUCUUCUGUUCCACAUGUGCACUGCCUGUAGACACGUUAGUGUCUAUGAUGUCGUUACACUUCACACAUGACGGAUGUAUGCAUAUAAUUGGAGAUGUAACAUAUACAA
rnacentral:misc_RNA from 1 species